AUGUCGAAGAAAGAAUAUCAGGACCACCUGGGUCCAAUGGAGGAACCGGAAGAACAGGAGGGAGAGGAAGAGUGUCAACAAGCAAUUGUGCUUGAUGGUACUAAUGUGGAAAGAUUAAGGAGGAGGUGGCUCCCAGGAAUCUCUUUACUUAUUGUUGGUUCACAGGGUGUGCUUGUCCAAUCCACUGAUGACAUUACUGGAGAUGAUGCUGCUCCACGCAAUGGUACUGAAGCUCAAAGGGGAGCUGCUCAAGCAACAAGAAAUAGUGCCAGAAUUGCUCAAAUGGGAGUGGGUCGUGAGACUAUGAGAGGGUUGAAGAAAGAGAGCUGCUAG
rnacentral:rRNA from 1 species